rnacentral:rRNA from 1 species
UAUUAUUUAAAAUGUAAAUUAAAAUAUUUAAGUAGUAAUAGUUAUGUUCUUGAAACUUAAAAAAUUUGGCGGUAUUUUAGUCUAUCCAGAGGAACCUGUUUUGUAAUCGAUAACCCACGAUGGACCUUACUUAAGUUUGUAAUCAGUUUAUAUACCGUCGUUAUCAGAAUAUUUUAUAAGAAUAUUAAUAUUCAAUAAUUUUAAUCAAAAUUUAUAUCAGAUCAAGGUGUAGCUUAUAUUUAAGUAAUAAUGGGUUACAAUGAAUAUAUUUAAACGGAUAAAAUUAUGAAAAAAUUUUUGAAGGUGGAUUUGGUAGUAAAAUUAUAAAGAUUAAUAAUUUGAUUUUAGCUCUAAAAUAUGUACACAUCGCCCGUCGCUCUUAUUAUUAAGGUAAGAUAAGUCGUAACAUAGUAGAUGUACUGGAAAGUGUAUCUAGAAUGA